rnacentral:rRNA from 1 species
GGUUAAGCGACUAAGCGUACACGGUGGAUGCCCUGGCAGUCAGAGGCGAUGAAGGACGUGCUAAUCUGCGAAAAGCGUCGGUAAGGUGAUAUGAACCGUUAUAACCGGCGAUGUCCGAAUGGGGAAACCCAGUGCAAUUCGUUGCACUAUCGUUAACUGAAUACAUAGGUUAACGAGGCGAACCGGGGGAACUGAAACAUCUAAGUACCCCGAGGAAAAGAAAUCAACCGAGAUUCCCCCAGUAGCGGCGAGCGAACGGGGAGCAGCCCAGAGUCUGAAUCAGCUUGUGUGUUAGUGGAACGGUCUGGAAAGUCCGACGGUACAGGGUGAUAGUCCCGUACACCAAAAUGCACAGGCUGUGAACUCGAAGAGUAGGGCGGGACACGUGGUAUCCUGUCUGAAUAUGGGGGGACCAUCCUCCAAGGCUAAAUACUCCUGACUGACCGAUAGUGAACCAGUACCGUGAGGGAAAGGCGAAAAGAACCCCGGCGAGGGGAGUGAAAAAGAACCUGAAACCGUGUACGUACAAGCAGUGGGAGCACCUUCGGGUGUGACUGCGUACCUUUUGUAUAAUGGGUCAGCGACUUAUAUUCUGUAGCAAGGUUAACCGUAUAGGGGAGCCGCAGGGAAACCGAGUCUUAACUGGGCGUUAAGUUGCAGGGUAUAGACCCGAAACCCGGUGAUCUAGCCAUGGGCAGGUUGAAGGUUGGGUAACACUAACUGGAGGACCGAACCGACUAAUGUUGAAAAAUUAGCGGAUGACUUGUGGCUGGGGGUGAAAGGCCAAUCAAACCGGGAGAUAGCUGGUUCUCCCCGAAAGCUAUUUAGGUAGCGCCUCGUGAAUUCAUCUUCGGGGGUAGAGCACUGUUUCGGCUAGGGGGUCAUCCCGACUUACCAACCCGAUGCAAACUACGAAUACCGAAGAAUGUUAUCACGGGAGACACACGGCGGGUGCUAACGUCCGUCGUGAAGAGGGAAACAACCCAGACCGCCAGCUAAGGUCCCAAAGUCAUGGUUAAGUGGGAAACGAUGUGGGAAGGCACAGACAGCCAGGAUGUUGGCUUAGAAGCAGCCAUCAUUUAAAGAAAGCGUAAUAGCUCACUGGUCGAGUCGGCCUGCGCGGAAGAUGUAACGGGGCUAAACCAUGCACCGAAGCUGCGGCAGCGACACUAUGUGUUGUUGGGUAGGGGAGCGUUCUGUAAGCCUGCGAAGGUGACCUGUGAGGGUUGCUGGAGGUAUCAGAAGUGCGAAUGCUGACAUAAGUAACGAUAAAGCGGGUGAAAAGCCCGCUCGCCGGAAGACCAAGGGUUCCUGUCCAACGUUAAUCGGGGCAGGGUGAGUCGACCCCUAAGGCGAGGCCGAAAGGCGUAGUCGAUGGGAAACAGGUUAAUAUUCCUGUACUUGGUGUUACUGCGAAGGGGGGACGGAGAAGGCUAUGUUAGCCGGGCGACGGUUGUCCCGGUUUAAGCAUGUAGGCUGGUUAUCCAGGCAAAUCCGGAUAAUCAAGGCUGAGGUGUGAUGACGAGGCACUACGGUGCUGAAGUAACAAAUGCCCUGCUUCCAGGAAAAGCCUCUAAGCAUCAGGUAACAUCAAAUCGUACCCCAAACCGACACAGGUGGUCAGGUAGAGAAUACCAAGGCGCUUGAGAGAACUCGGGUGAAGGAACUAGGCAAAAUGGUGCCGUAACUUCGGGAGAAGGCACGCUGGUGUGUAGGUGAAGCCCCUGCGGGUGGAGCUGAGACCAGUCGAAGAUACCAGCUGGCUGCAACUGUUUAUUAAAAACACAGCACUGUGCAAACACGAAAGUGGACGUAUACGGUGUGACGCCUGCCCGGUGCCGGAAGGUUAAUUGAUGGGGUUAUCCGUAAGGAGAAGCUCUUGAUCGAAGCCCCGGUAAACGGCGGCCGUAACUAUAACGGUCCUAAGGUAGCGAAAUUCCUUGUCGGGUAAGUUCCGACCUGCACGAAUGGCGUAAUGAUGGCCAGGCUGUCUCCACCCGAGACUCAGUGAAAUUGAACUCGCUGUGAAGAUGCAGUGUACCCGCGGCAAGACGGAAAGACCCCGUGAACCUUUACUAUAGCUUGACACUGAACAUUGAGCCUUGAUGUGUAGGAUAGGUGGGAGGCUUUGAAGCGUGGACGCCAGUCUGCGUGGAGCCAACCUUGAAAUACCACCCUUUAAUGUUUGAUGUUCUAACGUUGGCCCCUGACCGGGGUUGCGGACAGUGUCUGGUGGGUAGUUUGACUGGGGCGGUCUCCUCCCAAAGCGUAACGGAGGAGCACGAAGGUUAGCUAAUCCUGGUCGGACAUCAGGAGGUUAGUGCAAUGGCAUAAGCUAGCUUGACUGCGAGCGUGACGGCGCGAGCAGGUGCGAAAGCAGGUCAUAGUGAUCCGGUGGUUCUGAAUGGAAGGGCCAUCGCUCAACGGAUAAAAGGUACUCCGGGGAUAACAGGCUGAUACCGCCCAAGAGUUCAUAUCGACGGCGGUGUUUGGCACCUCGAUGUCGGCUCAUCACAUCCUGGGGCUGAAGUAGGUCCCAAGGGUAUGGCUGUUCGCCAUUUAAAGUGGUACGCGAGCUGGGUUUAGAACGUCGUGAGACAGUUCGGUCCCUAUCUGCCGUGGGCGCUGGAGAAUUGAGGGGGGCUGCUCCUAGUACGAGAGGACCGGAGUGGACGCAUCACUGGUGUUCGGGUUGUCAUGCCAAUGGCACUGCCCGGUAGCUAAAUGCGGAAGAGAUAAGUGCUGAAAGCAUCUAAGCACGAAACUUGCCCCGAGAUGAGUUCUCCCUGAGACUUUAAGUCUCCUGAAGGAACGUU